AGACUUCCCUGUCAGGGGUGAUACCAUGACCACAAAGGUGGUUUUCCCAUGGCAAGGCUUAUCCACUUCACACCAGUUGUGCUGACCUCUGCAAUGUCCCCAAAUGUGGGAAACUCAGUUGCAUUAUUUUUAAUAGUGAGGAACGCAUUCAUGUUUUCUCC
ensembl:snRNA U1 U1 spliceosomal RNA